CACGGAGGGGGCUGGCGUUGUUCGGAAUGACUGGGCGUAAAGCGCGCGUAGGCGGUUCGGUAAGUUGGAUGUGAAAGCCCGGGGCUCAACUCCGGAUGGGCGUUCAAGACUGCCGAAAUUGAGACCGAGAGAGGAGAGUGGAAUUCCCAGUGUAGAGGUGAAAUUCGUAGAUAUUGGGAAGAACACCCGUGGCGAAGGCGGCUCUCUGGCUCGGUUAUGACGCUGAGGUGCGAAAGCGUGGGGAGCAAACAGG
rnacentral:rRNA from 1 species